rnacentral:rRNA from 1 species
GUAGGUGGCAAGCGUUGUCCGGAAUUAUUGGGCGUAAAGCGCGCGCAGGCGGUCCUUUAAGUCUGAUGUGAAAGCCCACGGCUCAACCGUGGAGGGUCAUUGGAAACUGGGGGACUUGAGUACAGAAGAGGAAAGUGGAAUUCCAAGUGUAGCGGUGAAAUGCGUAGAGAUUUGGAGGAACACCAGUGGCGAAGGCGGCUUUCUGGUCUGUAACUGACGCUGAGGCGCGAAAGCGUGGGGAGCAAACAGGAUUAGAUACCCUGGUAGUCCACGCCGUAAACGAUGAGUGCUAAGUGUUAGGGGGUUUCCCGCCCCCUUAGUGCUGCAGCUAACGCAUUAAGCACUCCGCCUGGGGAGUACGGCCGCAAGGCUG